AUUCAACUGACGAGUCCCAAAUAGCACGAAAUGCAUCUCCUGAAU
rnacentral:hammerhead_ribozyme from 1 species